AGCAUCGUGGCUCAGCUGGUAGAGCAUACGCGUACAAAGCCUAGACGGUAUCCAUGCGUGGGUUCGAAUCCUACCGAGGCUA
rnacentral:tRNA from 1 species